AUUUAGGUUGGUGCAAAAGUAAUUGUGGAUUUUGCCAUUGAAAGUAAUGGCCAAAACCACAGUUCCUUUUGCACCAAUCUAUAGA
ensembl:miRNA